rnacentral:rRNA from 1 species
GACGAACGCUGGCGGCGUGCUUAACACAUGCAAGUCGAGCGGUAAGGCCCUUUCGGGGGUACACGAGGCGGCGAACGGGUGAGUAACACGUGGGUGACCUGCCUCUAGCUCUGGGAUAAGCCUGGGAAGCUGGGUCUAAUACCGGAUAUGACCUCGCGGUGCAUGUUGCGGGGUGGAAAGCCUUGUGCGGCUAGGGAGUGGGCCCGCGGCCUAUCAGCUUGUUGGUGGGGUGAGGCCUACCAAGGCGGACGACGGGUAGCCGGCCUGAGAGGGCGACCGGCC